AGGUGAAGUGGUCAUUUCGAUAGCUCGCGCUUCAGGUUUCCUGCUUUCUCUCUCUCAAGGGGGGCAUUCGAUUUAUUUUUGUUGCGAUGCUUUUGGAUGAGUUGCUUAUAGGGAUUUGGUAGGGAGGAUGGUUUUCAAUUGAUUUGGGAUAAAAAAAGGGAUUUUUUUUUAGUUGUUGAAUUUGGAGAUUAUUUGUGGGUAACAUAAAAAUUGGUGUGGAUUUUUGUCGAAUGAAUUUUAAUUUUAAUUUUUUCCUAUUAUAAUAAUAUGCUGAGGAAAAAAGUUUUUUUCCUGGGCAGGGGUUGGGGUGGGCGGUGGUGGAGACUCAAUAACGCGUUAUUUGUUUGGAACUUUUAAGAAUUUGAGGUUGGUGAAAGUUUUUCUUUUUAAAGGUGAAAAAAAUUGGUGUUUUGGAUAUGAGUUUUUGUUUUCUUUUUUUUUUUUUUUU
rnacentral:lncRNA from 1 species